GGGGACGUAGCUCAGCGGUAGAGCGUUCGCUUUGCACGCGAAAGGCCCCAGGUUCAAACCCUGGCGUCUCCU